CCUACGGGAGACAGCAGUGAGGAAUAUUGGUCAAUGGACGAGAGUCUGAACCAGCCAAGUAGCGUGAAGGAUGACUGCCCUAUGGGUUGUAAACUUCUUUUAUAUGGGAAUAAAAUGUUCCACGUGUGGGAUUUUGUAUGUACCAUAUGAAUAAGGAUCGGCUAACUCCGUGCCAGCAGCCGCGGUAAUACGGAGGAUCCGAGCGUUAUCCGGAUUUAUUGGGUUUAAAGGGAGCGUAGGUGGAUUGUUAAGUAAGUUGUGAAAGUUUGCGGCUCAACCGUAAAAUUGCAGUUGAAACUGGCAGUCUUGAGUACAGUAGAGGUGGGCGGAAUUUGUGGUGUAGCGGUGAAAUGCUUAGAUAUCACGAAGAACUCCGAUUGCGAAGGCAGUUCACUGGACUGCAACUGACACUGAGGCUCGAAAGUGUGGGUAUCAAACAGGAUUAGAUACCCUUGUAGUC
rnacentral:rRNA from 1 species